rnacentral:rRNA from 1 species
AUUGAACGCUGGCGGAAUGCUUUACACAUGCAAGUCGAGCGGCAGCGCGGGGCAACCUGGCGGCGAGCGGCGAACGGGUGAGUAAUGCAUCGGAACAUGUCCAUGUCGUGGGGGAUAGCCCGGCGAAAGCCGGAUUAAUACCGCAUACGCCCGAGAGGGGAAAGUGGGGGACCGCAAGGCCUCACGCGAUUGGGUUGGCCGAUGUCCGAUUAGCUAGUUGGCGGGGAAAGGCCCACCAAGGCGAUGAUCGGUAGCUGGUCUGAGAGGAUGAUCAGCCACACUGGGACUGAGACACGGCCCAGACUCCUACGGAGGCAGCAGUGGGGAAUUUUGGACAAUGGGGGCAACCCUGAUCCAGCCAUUCCGCGUGAGUGAAGAAGGCCUGGUGU